UACGGGGGGGGCAAGCGUUGUUCGGAAUUACUGGGCGUAAAGGGCUCGUAGGCGGCCAACUAAGUCAGACGUGAAAUCCCUCGGCUUAACCGGGGAACUGCGUCUGAUACUGGAUGGCUUGAGUUUGGGAGAGGGAUGCGGAAUUCCAGGUGUAGCGGUGAAAUGCGUAGAUAUCUGGAGGAAUACCGGUGGCGAAGGCGGCAUCCUGGACCGAGAUUGACACUGAGUGAGCGAAAGCCAGGGGAGCAAACGGG
rnacentral:rRNA from 1 species